UUUACUAAGAUGUGUGGGGCAAUUUCAUUUCACUGAACCUUGGUCUUCUAAAUUUUAAACUAAGGAUUAAAACAUGGUCUUGAGGUACUGUUGAGGGAAUUAAAUGUGAAGAGCUUUAUGCAGAGAAGACACCUGCUAAAUCUUUCUUUCCUUUGUAACUUUUUAUCAAAGUUUGGACUAUUAGAGAGCUAAUGACCUGUGUGACCACAUGAGCUAAGGAGAUAACAAAAUGCAAGAGAUAAAAACACCAAGCAGGAGAUAGUACAGAGUUUGAAUCAGUUAGGUCUGGCAUCAAUACAAAUUCACUUACUGGCUUUGCAAUCUUGGAUGUUACUUAAUCUUUCUGGAGCUCAGUAUUCUCAUUAUAAAAUGGAAAUGAUUCCUACUUUGCAGAGUGGUUGCUGAGUGUGGUAGCAAGGAUUAAAGAAAACUUUCAUAAAGCAUCUGGUACAUUAAGUAAACAGAUUGAGAUUAUUGAAGGCAAGAGAAGACGAAAACAUAAGACAGAGAUACCAAGGAAGGAGAAUUAACAAGACCUGGCCACUUACUGGACACCUUGGGGGGUGGUGGAGGAAAGCAAGAAUGAUAUAAUUUGAGUCAAGAAGACCUGGACAAUUGAGAUGAAGAAAAUUAGUAUAGUCAAAAAGAGAAUGAUUCAUUUUCACAGGAGGAUAAAUUCAAUUUUGAUGUACUGACUUGGAGAAUGCUAGUGUGCCAACUAUCUGAAGAUUUAAAUAAGGACAUUGGAAAUACAAGACUGAAAUUUGGGAGAGAUAUCAGGACUAGAGAUGAAAAUACCCUGGAAAACUUUUCUCUGACAGAAAUGACCCCUGGCAACAGUGACAUUCUGACACCAUGCAUGAUGCACACUCUUGGGAAGUCUGAAUUCCAUGUCACAAUGGCUCUGUUCAGAUUACUGGUUUUAUCAUGCCUUUAAGCGCAAUUAAAC